rnacentral:lncRNA from 1 species
UAGACAUUGACACAGAGCAUUUAAAUUAAACAUGAAACUUGGUGCAGUGUGCAAAUUGAAUCUACGCAUACAUACAUAAAAAAUACAAUUAUAUUAAUACAUUGUCCAAGAGAGACCAGGCAUAUAACUAAAUAAAAAUGCUAUAUACCAACACAUGUACUUUGAUAAUUGCCUAAGGGAGGGCAUAACGUGAAACAUUGUAGAUAGAGGCUUGUUACUUUGCUCAUUGCCGACAACUUCUCAUCUUCUAAACCAUCAGGCACAUAGCCCCACCGUGACUUUCUUGAAACUGUUGGUGGGCAAAAACAUGUUGCACGACAAAUUAUUCAUAAAAGCCUAAUGCCAAAUAUUUAAGUGCAAAAGGAUGAGUUAAUUCACCAGUACAAUUAAAGUAUUGCAUUAAGAGAUCAUCUGCAUUGAAGUGUUUAUUUUCUAAUAAUUAGUUGUUAUCCACUGACAAAUUUUGAGCAAUUAAACAUGGUUUACAUAUGUUCUUUGUAAUGUUACAAAACAUCAGUAGCAGGACAACAUGGACAGUAUCAAUCAGAAUAAGUAAGGAUGGAUAUUACAUUAUACAGUAUAUGUUUGGGGGAAGAUGUUAUACUACAGAAUGGAUCCCGUGCAUCAAUGUGACCCCCACUUUCACAAAGGUACUAAUUGUUGUCAUAUAUAAAGUAGAAUUUCUCUGGUGGGCUCUAAGUUUGCAUAUUGCAAUCAACUUAAAUGAAGAAGAAACUUAUCUAGAUGCAAUCCAGGCUCUCCAUAGUAAGUAAACCAUAGUUUAAAAUAUGAUAUUGUAGCUUACAAAUUAUUACCUUUUCAAGCUACAGCUCUCCAAAUAUGCUCAAUUUUUUUUACGAAGCGAAGGAAACUUGGAAAAAUUCAGCAUAACACCAGCUUUCCAAAUGCAUCUUUAGAUGUUGUUAUUUGGAUCUGGACAAUCCAUGGCCCUAUGCAGCAACACCAUUCAGUGACCUUGAAAGGUCAACCACUGGCGCCACCUGAAUAUCUUUCUGGAAAUACUCAACAAUUUGACACGCCAUAUAUGCAUGAUAACAAAAAGAAUUUUAGUCAAACUCGAUUAUCUCUUUGAAUCUUUAGAUACAGAGUAUGUCAAGAUAAGUAGUGUAAAAAUGAUGCAUCAGAAGCAAAACUAAUUUAAUAGUGUAUACACCAUUCAAAUUUACAAACCCCUCUAAAUUAUCGCUUGCCAUGCCAUUGCACCAUAAUAUGAGAGGGGAGUAUUCAAAGGCAUCUAGCUAACAACAAUAAUAAAUACAAUAGAAAAUCAUCGUUAUUACAAUAGAAAUGAGCCUUUUCUUUAGGUAAGGUUUUCCCAGACAUGCCGAACAAAUUGAGCUUCCAACACUUUGACUGACAGCACCUGUGACACAUUGUGAGUGAAAAACAUCAUCAAUCUGAAAGAAUUUGAACUAAGUAGAACUAUUGGUGGACAAGGGGACGUAGAGGAUAUCCUAGAAGCAGAAAGAUGGUAAGAUUGCUGCAGUAACACGUAGAAGGAAAUUAGACUAUGCCAUGGGAAAGAAUAUAUGUAGGAGCAUGAACUGAAGGAGGGAAGGAGGCAGGGAGAUUGUAGUAACGGAUCUCCACUAUGAGCCGCCAGACAGUGCACCUUGAUUGCGAUUAAUGGAUCCUAGCAAUGGCAACUUAAUUCAUCGCUUCAAAGUGGUGCUCACUCCGACCGGGGAGGAUCCAAUCAUACCUUUGAUGGAACUGCACAACCACAUCGCCCGUGUCGCCUCGUCUUGCCCGGGCAUCUUGCUCUCGCAAGAGUGAUCGCCCGCCUCACCCUGCUGAAUACCCUCGAGCACUUCGGUUGGAACAACUCAAAUUUAGAACAUCACAUUCUUAGAAAACAUCUACAAUGAUCUAACAUUGCUGGCUAAAUCUAACUGGAUAGUUCUAACACUAAAUUCUGUACUUCAAAAAUGCAUUGAAAUCUCAUGAACAAAUAGUUCAACAAAUAAAUUCUUAAAAUAGCAUACGAUCUCUUUGCAUCGAGCUGGAGAAUACAGGAGGCAAAAAGACAGGUGGGCACAGACCACAGAAGGAGCACAACAUAGAGAAGGAGAGGAAGAUGUCAAAUUGCCUCACCGCUUGGUUCCAUGGAGGUUCAUUGCCGACCUCGAUGGUCUCUGAUUUGGGUUGUGACAGUAUGCACGGGGGCUUUGGCUUCGGGCUGUGAGAGAUGAAGCCAGCGCCUCGCCCAGCCCUCCUCUAACACCGAUCGCCCGCGUCACCCGCAUCACUCGGAUGGAUCUCCUCGAGCGUGUCGGCUGAAUCCGAUUAGAAGACCUGUCGCUCGCGUCACCCUUGUUGGCUGGAUCCCCUCGCAGAUCGCCCGUGUCGCCCCACAUCAAGCGCGGCUGGAUCCCCUCCAGCAGCAUUGGCGUGGAGAAAGGGCAGCAAACUGGCGGCGGGGAUGGAGAUGGCCAGCGGGGCGGCGGCUUGAGUUCCCAUCGGGCGGCGCCCUGAGUGGUCCUUCUGGUGGGCUGGAUCUGGAUGGAGUGGGUGGGAGUUGACCUGCAGGCUCAUAGGGAUGGCGGCGUGGACUUGAGCAGCAGUCGUGAGUUACACCGGCGGCAGAGAGGCGACAGAACCAGGCUGAGGCGACCGAACCGUCAUGAC